GAUGACAAUCCCAGACUUGGGAAUGACAUCUGCAGUGGGGCAGUCUUGCAGAAUCGAGUCCUUAAGCUGUGAGAUCUGAUGCUAUCUCUACGUGGAUAGUGCCAGAAUUAACUUAAUUGCUUGGAGAUGCUGGUGCAUUCUGAAUGGAGCAUUGAGCAGGGGAGGCUGCAGAAUUUUUUUUUUAAGAUUUUAUUUAUUUAUUCAUGAGAGACUCACAGAGAGAGGCAGAGACACAGGAAGAGGGAGAAGCAGGCUCUAUGCAGGGAGCCAGAUGUGGGACUCAAUCCCAGGUCUCCAGGAUCACGCCCUGGGCUGAAGGCGGUGCUAAACCUCUGAGCCAUCCAGGCUGCCCGAGGCUGGAGAAUUUAUAAGGAGCCCUAUAUAGAAGAUCUUUUCUCACCAGGUCGGGGGACUUAUACCCAGGCCCUGGGUACUGGGCAACCAUGGAGGUAUUUUAACAGGAAAGAGGUGGCCAAUUUGUCCCAUGCCUUAUGAUCAGUCUCCUUUAAAUGGAUGACAUCAUAAACCAAAGGAAACUUAGGGUAUAAACCACAGGCAGAUUAGGUAAAGGGCAGGUAGAGUCCAAAUUUGGAAAGACCUGUCCACGUCUGAAUCCUGCUGCACUACUCACCAGCUGUGUUGGAGGCCUAUCAUAGUCACUCAACAAAUAUUUGUAGAAGACCUUCUCUGACAAGGGAAAGUCUGAGAUCAUCACCAGCCACCCAGUCCAGUAAAGAAAAUUUUCAGCAGUGGUCACCUCUGCUGGGGAGUGGGGGGGACAAGAGGCUUUACUCUUCACUGUGGACUCUUUAUCCUGUUUGAAUGUCUUUUCAUAGGCUCCUUGGAAAAUGUGUGGACCUGGCUGGGGACACCAAGAACAUAUUAUUAUUGGACUUUGGUAUAUUUAUCACUAUUUAGGGGGUGCUAAACACAUGCAUGCUUGUCUUGUUCACAGGUGCAUCAUUGACUUGCAAAUGAAUGAACAAAUGACCUCUACUCCUCAAAGAUCCCCAAUUUACACAGAAAGAGGUUGAGGUUCAGGGAGCUGAAGGGACUUGCUUCAGUGACAUGGAGCCACACCCAGACCUCCCUAUUCUAUUUCCUCCUCAAAGUUGGUUUGACACUCUGCCAAUCCCCAGCUCACCUUGAGGAAGCAUGGCACAGUCAUCAGCUAGGAGAACAGACCUACCUGCUCCGGGUUAGACGUCAGCACUGCCAACACAUGGAGAUACCCAUAUGCUGUGACACAAAUGCCAUGCUUUAGGCCAUAUGAAGGCCUUUCCAGGUCUAGCCGAGGAACGGGAAUGGAGGGAGAAGCCCUCAGGGGUGGGGGCACAGCUGAGUGUCGGCUGUACAGGCCCCACCCCACCACCCCACCUCAAGCCACACCAUAGACAAUGAAGGAAAGGGUCCAGGUGAGCUCUGGGUCAGAAAGAGAUAAAGAAAGUGAGCAGGUGGCAUUGAGUCACGUGGCUUGUGGAGGUGACUCCUGGAGGCAGAAGCUAGCACUGUCUGGGGGAGACCUCAGACCUCAGAUAGGUGACCUUCACAGCUCUUGAAAAGUGUGGAUGAAAGGUUACACCCUCGGCUGACCAGAGGUCCACUCUAUGUGUAUAACACAAAGCCCUCCUUUCUGCUGGACCAAAUGCCACUAUCUUUGCAUUCACCCUCCCUAGGGUUCUCAGAGUGGAGGGGUGUGGGCAAAUUGCAAUUUUACUGACCUAUACUAUGUGCUGACCCUCUAUCAAGGCAUUUAAUAUGAUAUGAGCACUACUAACCCAGUUUACCAAUGAGCAAAUUGAGGCACAGAGUGGUUCAGAAACUUUCCCAGGGUCACACAGACAGGAGAAUGGAGGAGCCUGAAACACAGGCUAGCACACUACAAAGCACAUCGGGUUUUGAGACUCAUGGAGCAGGAGCUCAGUGAACAGUUAAUGUGCCAAGGAGAAUGAGGUCAGGCAAAUGGAUCUCAAGGAAGACAUAAGACUGAACUGCACCUCGCAUGAGAAAUCAGACCCGCCUAGAUUUAUCUGGAUUCAGAGGUAGAGUGACGACUCAUGAAAAAGGAAGAAGGUGAGGCUCAGAAAAAGAGAAUCCAAAGAAUUGAGAUUUCCUCAUGUGCAUUGAAAAUGCUAUAAUGGGGCAGCCCUGGGUGGCUCAGGGUUUAGUGCAGCCUUCAGCCCAGAGCGUGAUCCUGGGGACCCCUGAUAGAGUCCCACAUCAGGGCUCCCUGCAUGGAGCCUGCUUCUCCCUCUGCCUGUGUC